CCCUGGGUAUCCUGGAAGGGAAUUGACCUAGUCCCGUCAGUAGAGGAUGCCUGGUUGUUCCUUAAAAGUGCCUUCCUCACCAUCUUAAUAAGCGUGCCCCUUUCAAAAAAUGUAGAACUAAGAACAGAUAGCCCCUUGUUCUCUCGUGACUUGACUGCCCUUGGCUAGCACAAACAUCCUGUGGAGUACUGCAUUCGCAUCGAAUAGCCCCCACGAUAUGCAAUCUUUUAGGGAAGUCAGGAACCAAUAUACACAGUCAUUUAGGAAAGCAAAGGCUAGCUUUUUCAAACAGAAAUUUGCAUCCUGUAGCACUAAUUUCAAAAGGUUUUGGGGCACAAAGGUUUUGGGACACAAGUCCAUGGAGAGUAAGAGCACCUCCUCCCAGCUGCCCACUGCACUGAGGCUAGGAAACACUGCCAUCACCGAUAAAUCCACGAUAAUUAAAAAUUCCAAUAAGCAUUUUUCUACGGCUGGCCAUGCUUUCCACCUGGCUGCCCCCACACGUCUCCUUCACCCGAAUCCAGGCAGCUGAUGUUCUGAAAGCGUUGCAAAAUCUGAACCCCCUACAAAUCAGCUGGGCUAGACAAUCUGGACCCUCUCUUUCUAAAAUUACCUGCCUUUUCUAUUACUAGCCUUUUCAACCUCUUUCGAAUAGUCUGAGAACCCUAAAGAUUGGAAAGCUGCCACGGUCAUCCCCCUCUUCAAAUGGGGAUACACUCUAGACCACUGGUUAUCAAUCCAGGACCAGGAUUGAGAACCACUGCUCUAGCCCCAAACUGUUGCAGACCUAUAUCCGCCCUGCCUUUCUAAAAUAUUCAAAAGCAAAGUUAACAAACAGAUCAUCGGCCAUUUCGAAUCCCACCGUACCUUCUCCGCAAUGUAAUCUGGUUUCCAAGCUGGUCAUGGAUUCUUUUCAGCCACGCUAUAGGUCCUAAAUGAUAUCAUAAACUCCAACGAUAAGACCGUACUGUGCAGCCGUAUUCAUCGCUCUGGCCAAGGCUUUCGACUCUGUCAAUCACAACAUUCUUAUCGGCAGACUCAAUAGCCUUGGUUUCUCAAACGACUGCCUCGCCUGGUUCACCAACUACCAACUACUAACGACAGAGUUCAAUGUGUCAAAUUGGAGGGCCUGUUGUCCAGACCUCUGGCAAUCUCUAUGGGAGUCCCACAGGGUUCAAUUCCCGGGCCGAUUCUCUUCUCUGUAUAUAUUAAUGAUGUCGCUCUUGCUGCUGGUGAUUCUCUGAUCCACCUCUACGCAGACGACACCAUUCUGUAUACAUCUGGCCCUUCUUUGGAGACUGUUAACAAACCUCCAAACGUGCUUCAAUUCCAUACAACACUCCUUCCGUGGCCUCCAACUGCUCUUAAAUGCUAG
ensembl:lncRNA